rnacentral:rRNA from 1 species
GGGAAUUUUCCGCAAUGGGCGAAAGCCUGACGGAGCAAUCUCGCGUGAGGGAAGACGGCCUAUGGGUUGUAAACCUCUUUUUUCAGGGAGGAAUAAAUGACGUGUACCUGAAGAAUAAGCAUCGGCUAACUCCGUGCCAGCAGCCGCGGUAAUA